rnacentral:ncRNA from 1 species
CCGUCACUGCCACCGGGUAGAGAUGCAAUAAACUUUGCGUCCGUUGACACAUCAUUAGGUCUUUGAAGAUGUGUCUGCGGGCGCUUUUUAUUU